UUAAAUGAGAGUUUGAUCCUGGCUCAGGACGAACGCUGGCGGCGUGCCUAAUACAUGCAAGUAGAACGCACAGUAUAUACCGUAGCUUGCUACACCAUAGACUGUGAGUUGCGAACGGGUGAGUAACGCGUAGGUAACCUGCCUGGUAGCGGGGGAUAACUAUUGGAAACGAUAGCUAAUACCGCAUAAUAUUAAUUAUUGCAUGAUAAUUGAUUGAAAGAUGCAACUGCAUCACUACCAGAUGGACCUGCGUUGUAUUAGCUAGUAGGUGAGGUAACGGCUCACCUAGGCGACGAUACAUAGCCGACCUGAGAGGGUGAUCGGCCACACUGGGACUGAGACACGGCCCAGACUCCUACGGGAGGCAGCAGUAGGGAAUCUUCGGCAAUGGACGAAAGUCUGACCGAGCAACGCCGCGUGAGUGAAGAAGGUUUUCGGAUCGUAAAGCUCUGUUGUAAGAGAAGAACGGGUGUGAGAGUGGAAAGUUCACACUGUGACGGUAUCUUACCAGAAAGGGACGGCUAACUACGUGCCAGCAGCCGCGGUAAUACGUAGGUCCCGAGCGUUGUCCGGAUUUAUUGGGCGUAAAGCGAGCGCAGGCGGUUAGAUAAGUCUGAAGUUAAAGGCUGUGGCUUAACCAUAGUACGCUUUGGAAACUGUUUAACUUGAGUGCAGAAGGGGAGAGUGGAAUUCCAUGUGUAGCGGUGAAAUGCGUAGAUAUAUGGAGGAACACCGGUGGCGAAAGCGGCUCUCUGGUCUGUAACUGACGCUGAGGCUCGAAAGCGUGGGGAGCGAACAGGAUUAGAUACCCUGGUAGUCCACGCCGUAAACGAUGAGUGCUAGGUGUUAGGCCCUUUCCGGGGCUUAGUGCCGCAGCUAACGCAUUAAGCACUCCGCCUGGGGAGUACGACCGCAAGGUUGAAACUCAAAGGAAUUGACGGGGGCCCGCACAAGCGGUGGAGCAUGUGGUUUAAUUCGAAGCAACGCGAAGAACCUUACCAGGUCUUGACAUCCCGAUGCCCGCUCUAGAGAUAGAGUUUUACUUCGGUACAUCGGUGACAGGUGGUGCAUGGUUGUCGUCAGCUCGUGUCGUGAGAUGUUGGGUUAAGUCCCGCAACGAGCGCAACCCUUAUUGUUAGUUGCCAUCAUUCAGUUGGGCACUCUAGCGAGACUGCCGGUAAUAAACCGGAGGAAGGUGGGGAUGACGUCAAAUCAUCAUGCCCCUUAUGACCUGGGCUACACACGUGCUACAAUGGCUGGUACAACGAGUCGCAAGUCGGUGACGGCAAGCUAAUCUCUUAAAGCCAGUCUCAGUUCGGAUUGUAGGCUGCAACUCGCCUACAUGAAGUCGGAAUCGCUAGUAAUCGCGGAUCAGCACGCCGCGGUGAAUACGUUCCCGGGCCUUGUACACACCGCCCGUCACACCACGAGAGUUUGUAACACCCGAAGUCGGUGAGGUAACCUUUUAGGAGCCAGCCGCCUAAGGUGGGAUAGAUGAUUGGGGUGAAGUCGUAACAAGGUAGCCGUAUCGGAAGGUGCGGCUGGAUCACCUCCUUU
rnacentral:rRNA from 1 species